UACGGGGGGGGUAAGCGCUGUUCGGAAUUACUGGGCGUAAAGGGCUCGUAGGCGGCCAACUAAGUCAUACGUGAAAUCCCUCGGCUUAACCGGGGAACUGCGUCUGAUACUGGAUGGCUUGAGUUCGGGAGAGGGAUGCGGAAUUCCAGGUGUAGCGGUGAAAUGCGUAGAUAUCUGGAGGAACACCGGUGGCGAAGGCGGCAUCCUGGACCGAUACUGACGCUGAGGAGCGAAAGCCAGGGGAGCAAACGGG
rnacentral:rRNA from 1 species